GACGAACGCUGGCGGCGUGCCUAACACAUGCAAGUCGAGCGGGGAUUGAGGAGAGCUUGCUCAAAUCAAUUCUAGCGGCGGACGGGUGAGUAACGCGUGAGCAACCUGCCUUCUACUGGGGAAUAACGCACCGAAAGGUGUGCUAAUACCGCAUGAGACCACAGGACCGCAUGGUCUAGAGGUCAAAGAUUUAUCGGUAGAAGAUGGGCUCGCGUCUGAUUAGCUAGUUGGUGAGGUAACGGCCCACCAAGGCGACGAUCAGUAGCCGACCUGAGAGGGUGAUCGGCCACAUUGGAACUGAGAAACGGUCCAA
rnacentral:rRNA from 1 species